GAUUCAUAACAAAAUUAGUUUUAUUAAAACUUGUUAAAAUUGUCCAGCUACUCAUCUGAGAGUUAAAUCUUGAAUGCUUUUUAUGGGACCAUUUUAUUCAUGACAGAGAGGGUUCCAGCUAUCUGACUUCUUGAAUCUAUCUGAUUUUUUUCACCUAAAAAUCCUGCUUAUUUUCUGCCAUUGAAUGUUUCGAUUGGAAGGUUUUUGGUUCAAUAUUUUGCCCAUGAUAGCAAAAUGAAGGGAUAGGGGUUGAGUUAAAACUACACUCAUGAUCUUACAAUUAUAGUACAGAAAGUAGCAAAAGUUGACAAAGUACUCCAUCAAAAGAGUCAUUGAAUGCCUAACAAAUAUCGACCUCAAAGUGGAGGAAUCAAAAACGGAGGUUAUUCUUGAGGACAGAAGGAAACUUUUAAGUAUUAGGAAUUGGGAAGAUAAAGUUUCUUAUUUCGUUUUCUCCUAUAUCAUUUUGGUCUAUUCAUUUAUAUUAAACUCAUCAAUUUUUUUGUCGUCGUUGAUUAAGAUUUAGAACUUGGUACUACUAUUAAUUACGAUUUUUGUAAGUUGACCCAAAUUAAUGCAUAGAAGUGAGAAUAAUACAGAUUGAUGUUUAAGAGUUGAUAUCUCAAGAACUAAUAGAUAUUUUA